UUAAUUGAAGCCAAAUAGAGGCAAUUCAUUGUUAAUGGAAGAAAUGGCAAAUAGCCCAAUUAAA
rnacentral:tRNA from 1 species